rnacentral:rRNA from 1 species
UACGAAGGGGGCUAGCGUUGUUCGGAAUUACUGGGCGUAAAGAGCUCGUAGGUGGUUUGUCGCGUUGUCCGUGAAAACUCACAGCUUAACUGUGGGCGUGCGGGCGAUACGGGCAGACUGGAGUACUGCAGGGGAGACUGGAAUUCCUGGUGUAGCGGUGGAAUGCGCAGAUAUCAGGAGGAACACCGGUGGCGAAGGCGGGUCUCUGGGCCGAUAUUGACGCUGAGGAGCGAAAGCGUGGGGAGCGAACAGG